CCCCACACAAUUACAAUUCUACCCCCGUCCAUGUAUGGACCCAAAACCCAUCCCAAUUACAAAUACAGACCCGAUUAUAAUUAUUUUGAUUGAUGAGCC